GAUGAACGCUAGCGGCAGGCCUAAUACAUGCAAGUCGAACGAGAUUAAGAGGCUUGCUUCUUAUGAAAGUGGCGCACGGGUGCGUAACGCGUAUGCAACCUACCUUAAUCAGGGGGAUAGCCCGAAGAAAUUCGGAUUAAGACCGCAUAAAAACACAGGAUAGCAUUAUCCAAUGUUCAAAUAUUUAUAGGAUUAAGAUGGGCAUGCGUGUCAUUAGCUAGUUGGCGGGGUAACGGCCCACCAAGGCGACGAUGACUAGGGGAUCUGAGAGGAUGACCCCCCACACUGGUACUGAGACACGGACCAGACUCCUACGGGAGGCAGCAGUAAGGAAUAUUGGUCAAUGGAGGGAACUCUGAACCAGCCAUGUCGCGUGCAGGAAGACAGCCCUCUGGGUCGUAAACUGCUUUUAUUCGGGAAUAAACCUUUCUACGUGUAGGAAGCUGAAUGUACCGAAGGAAUAAGGAUCGGCUAACUCCGUG
rnacentral:rRNA from 1 species